AUGGGAGCAGCACUUGAAGGACCCGGCGUGGGUGGCCGACACGCAGACGCACUUGGAAGCGGGCCCGUGGCGACGGCGCCGACGCCGACCCGGGCCACCUCCUCCACGUAUUCUUGGAACUGUGGCUGGCCGAUUUACAUGAAAUUAAUUCCCUCAGUUGUGGUGGCAAAUAUAAUACACAUAAUCCAUAUUGUUAUGCACUAG
rnacentral:rRNA from 1 species